AUGUACCCCUUCGCUGCCUUAUCCCCUCGUCCUCGAGGAAAAAAAGAAAAGAAGGAGACGAGGAGCUCGGCGGCGACCACCACCAGGGAGCUCGGCGGCGACCACAGGGAGCCUGGCGGCGAGUCCCAAGGAGCUCGGCAGCCACCCCAAGAUUUGUGAAUUGUCCGUCGAUCUGCAGGCCGAGUGAAGAGUUCAGAGUUCAGGUCCAUGGAUGAUACUCACACAACCGUACUCCCUUCCUUUCGCAGUAUUCGUUCUACAAGUCAUUGUUAAUUUGCUUUAUUCAGAUACUCUUAAGUAACAAACAAAGUCACGAGUCCUUAUUGCACCUUCAGAUCGUAUAUGUAAUAUCUUUCUCAUAUUUCAUUUAAGCAUACUGGAUACUAGUUGCUCUUGUCAGCAUUCCCAUAUUGUAUGCAUGCAGUUUUUCUUUUGUUUCAGCUAUUACCGAACAAGUUUAUUCAAUUCAGUUAGUUUGAUGGCUUAUAAUGUCAAGCAUUCCUGUUCUAACUACUGCCCUGGACAAGGAUUUAUCUGAAAAGACAGUGGCACAGAACCCAGAAAUUUUACUUUACUGCCAGGCUGGAAGGUACUUCCUCCGUCCCAUAAUAUAAGAGCGUUUUUUACACUAGUGUAAUGUCAAGAACGCUCUUACAUUAUGGGACGGAGGUAGUAGAUUAUAUCUCCUUUCAUUUGUUGUUGACAGCAUCCAUAUGUUCUAUAUGUUCUUUUAGUAACUCGGUAUAUGCAAUAAAUUAUCUGUAAUUUUUUGGAAUCAAAUUUGUGUUGCCUUCACUAAUAUAUGCAUAUUUUGCAGGCUUUUAAUCCAAGUACUUUUGCUGGUUGGUUUGGUCGAUCAUUAUAUCAUGCAGUUGUUAUUUUCUUAAUCACCACUCAUGCUUAUGCCGAUGAAAAAAGUGAGACGGAGGACACUAGCUGGUCAAGAAUAAGAGCUCAGUUUAUGAGCCCCUGCUGUCUGAUUCUCCCAUGGCAUCCAGGAGAUCACUAGCACCUUUAUGAGCUCAUUUGACACCUUUCAGCCAGCUCAGUCAAGGGUUCCUGCUGCUUAUCCCAGAAAUAUUAAAACCAGUUAACCUUUGGGUGUCAUUGUAGCAGGUUAUACCCUCAACAAAGAAAAAAUAAAUGA